CAAUGUUAACGUUUUCAUUGUUUUUAUUAUGUUUACACAAUGUUUUCUACUAAAAAUAUUGUUCCAAUCCAAAAAUAAUAAGAUAUCGAUUUUGCUCCUUUUAAUAUUCCGCCACCUUCAUAGUCGUUUUUUAUUAUCUCAAGUAUUUUUCAUUAUAAUUGGGAAAAACCAAAAAAGACAAAAUAAAUGAUUUUUUUUUCAAAUUACGGCACAGUGAAUUUCAUUACUUAUAUUAUAUUUUCUACCAUAAAUAUUGUAUCAAUAGGUAAAAGACAAGGUACUUUUUUUAUUCGUUUUUUGAUUUUAUUUGGUAGUUUUUGUAGUAAUUUAUUAUUUUUAAUUUGUUUUAGAUUCUAGUGCAAUAAUAGAGCGAAGAAGCUUAUGGUUUUACCAAAAUGUUUAUUUUUAUUUAUUUUUUUAUGUGAUCACUUUUUCUACCUCAAAGCUUACUCCGAUGUAGUCCUUUUUCUGAAGGAAAUUUUUUUAGGGUGGUACUUAUAACUAUAUAAGUAAAAUGUUCUUAUUAUUUUUUUUUUUUUGACAACUAUUCUACAGGCAAUUAUGCUCUGCUUUACAGUGAUAGCACUAUUUCUA